ensembl:misc_RNA Metazoa_SRP Metazoan signal recognition particle RNA
GUCGGGCAUGGUGGCGCAUGCCUGUAGUCCCAGCUACUCGGGAGGCUGAGGCAGGAGAAUUGCUUGAACCUGGGAGGCGGAGGUUGCAGUGAGCCAAGAUCAUGCCACUGCACUCCAGCCUGGGCAACAGAGCGAGACUCUGUCUCAA